rnacentral:rRNA from 1 species
UACGUAGGGGGCAAGCGUUGUCCGGAAUCACUGGGCGUAAAGCGCGCGCAGGCGGUCAUCUACGUCUGGGGUGAAAGCCCGGAGCUCAACUCCGGGAUUGCCUUGGAUACGGGAUGACUUGAGGAUCGGAGAGGCAAGGGGAAUUCCACGUGUAGCGGUGAAAUGCGUAGAGAUGUGGAGGAACACCGGUGGCGAAGGCGGCAUCCUGGACCAACACUGACGCUGAGGAGCGAAAGCCAGGGGAGCAAACGGG